CUGCAGCGGGCUGAGGGUCCGCGCUGAGCACGAGAAAGCUGAGGCAGCCUCCCGGGCCGGCGAUGCGGUGCGAACGAUGGAAAUCUUGGAGGCGGAGGAGAGCGGCACAUCUGUACACUCGAACGAGAGUAAGCGCUGCUCACGAGGCCACUUAGUGAACCGACACUCAACGACCGGACCGGCAUCGGCCUCGGGCGUGGAGCGCCUACCCCGCCGCGUGGUGCUGAUACAGCAGGAUUGUUUCCACUAAGGCCAUAGUGGACAAGACCACAAACAAGUGCAGAGGUGAGAGGACAGCUCUCCCUGGUGACAGAGCGGCUAGCCUGGGCCUCCCACCCCCUCCUACGCCCAUCUCCCAGUGAUGCUGUGUCUAUGGCUUCAUGGACUUGGUGGUCCUUGGGCAGCACAAAAAGCUGUAACAGCACUGAGAGCCAGUGGCGUGCAGGCACAGAUGGCCAAGGAAUGGGACCCCAUAAAUUUAUACAUAUCAUAUCUCCCACUGUCAGUGGAUGAGCAAGAACUGGAGGGAAUGUUGAAGCCCUUCAGAUAAGUUAUCUACACUUGAAUCCUUCGAGACAGCAGGGGGACCAGCAGAUGGGCUGGCUUUGCAAGGUGAAGGAUGCUAAGAAUGGGAAUGAUGAGGUUGAUAAAGAAGGUCACUGAGUAGGUCACCAAAAAUCCUUACUCACAGACCCAUUUGCCCCCAAAUCUGUAUUCAUUCUCCAGUACUUCCUGCUACUCUAGCCUUUGUUCCUUUCAUCCAGACCAACCAGAAUAAACACAAGUCUUAAGUAGUUU